UCUUAUAGAUGAGCAAAGAAAGUGGUUUCUUUGAAUGGAAUCUGCUGCUGGUGAAGAUGCUGUGAA
rnacentral:pre_miRNA from 1 species